rnacentral:rRNA from 1 species
AGAGUUUGAUCAUGGCUCAGGAUGAACGCUGGCGGCGUGCUUAACACAUGCAAGUCGAACGGAGUGUAAACGCUGAAGCGAUUUCGGUCAAUUCUUGUUUAUACUUAGUGGCGGACGGGUGAGUAACGCGUGGGUAACCUGCCGUAUGCAGGGGGACAACAGUUGGAAACGACUGCUAAUACCGCAUAAGCGCACAGUACCGCAUGGUAUAGUGUGAAAAGAUCUAUCGGCAUACGAUGGACCCGCGUCUGAUUAGCUAGUUGGUGAGGUAACGGCCCACCAAGGCGACGAUCAGUAGCCGGCCUGAGAGGGUGAACGGCCACAUUGGGACUGAGACACGGCCCAAACUCCUACGGGAGGCAGCAGUGGGGAAUAUUGGACAAUGGGGGAAACCCUGAUCCAGCCGACGCCGCGUGAGUGAAGAAGUAUUUCGGUAUGUAAAGCUCUAUCAGCAAGGAAGAAAAUGACGGUACUUGACUAAGAAGCUCCGGCUAAAUACGUGCCAGCAGCAGC